rnacentral:lncRNA from 1 species
CCCCCUUUUUAAAAUGGCUGGAUCCGCCCCUGUGUGUCAUGCUGUCAUGAAUAAAAACACGUUCAGUCCAUUGUCCAACCUGAUUAGUGUGUAAACACAGAAAAAACUGAUAAGUCCGUUACCAUUCUAUACCGUGAUGCGGUCACUUUUCAGACAGAAUCAUAUUGUAACUUUUUUAUAUUUGACCCCCCUAUAUCCAAUUAAUAAC